AUACGCAUACAAAGGAUUAAAGUGGCGAUUCUGCCACACCGCGGGUUACCACGACAAUGCUCUGACUGGGUCUUGCGAGAUUCAUGGUCUGCAGCUAUGCGGAGCUGCAGACCGGAAAUUAUAGCCACCGGACCACCAGGGAGCCCACACUGGACCACCAGGGAAUUAAGGUCUUUAGUCCCUCCUCAUCACCCACCUUCCUCACACCAUCACCUGCUG